rnacentral:rRNA from 1 species
UACGUAGGGGGCAAGCGUUGUCCGGAUUUAUUGGGCGUAAAGAGCGUGUAGGCGGUUUGGUAGGUCCGCUGUGAAAACUCGAGGCUCAACCUCGAGACGCCGGUGGAAACCAUCAGACUAGAGUCCGGAAGAGGAGAGUGGAAUUCCUGGUGUAGCGGUGAAAUACGUAGAGAUUGGGAAGAACACCAGUGGCGAAGGCGGCUAUCUGGACGGUUACUGACGCUAAGACGCGAAAGCGUGGGGAGCAAACAGG